UUGCUUCAGCAGCAAAUAUACUAAAAUUGGAAAGAUGCAGAGAAAAUUGGCCUGGGCCUUGCACAAGAAUGAUAUACACAUUUAUGAACUAUUCCAUUUCUUU
rnacentral:snRNA from 1 species